rnacentral:rRNA from 1 species
CGGGGUGAGUAAUGUAUGGGGAUCUGCCUGAUGGCGGGGGAUAACUACUGGAAACGGUAGCUAAUACCGCAUAAUGUCUACGGACCAAAGCGGGGGACCUCCGGGCCUCGCGCCAUCAGAUGAACCCAUAUGGGAUUAGCUAGUAGGUGAGGUAACGGCUUACCUAGGCGACGAUCCCUAGCUGGUCUGAGAGGAUGAUCAGCCACACUGGAACUGAGACACGGUCCAG